rnacentral:rRNA from 1 species
CACGUAGGAGGCGAGCGUUGUCCGGAAUCAUUGGGCGUAAAGAGCGCGCAGGCGGCUUGGCAAGUCGGGUGUGAAAUCCCGGGGCUCAACCCCGUGACUGCAUCCGAUACUGUCAGGCUAGAGGUAGGUAGGGGAGACUGGAAUUCCUGGUGUAGCGGUGAAAUGCGCAGAUAUCAGGAGGAACACCGAUGGCGAAGGCAGGUCUCUGGGCAUUAACUGACGCUGAGGAGCGAAAGCAUGGGGAGCGAACAGG